rnacentral:tRNA from 1 species
GGAGAGAUGGAUGAGCGGUUUAAGUCGCACGCCUGGAAAGCGUGUUUAGGAUUAUUCCUAACGCGGGUUCGAAUCCCGCUCUCUCCG